rnacentral:rRNA from 1 species
CGCGUAGGCGGUUUGUACAGUCAGACGUGAAAUUCCUGGGCUCAACCUGGGGGCUGCGUUUGAUACGUGCAGACUUGAGUUCGGAAGAGGGUCGUGGAAUUCCCAGUGUAGAGGUGAAAUUCGUAGAUAUUGGGAAGAACACCGGUGGCGAAGGCGGCGACCUGGUCCGAUACUGACGCUGAGGCGCGAAAGCGUGGGGAGCAAACAGGAUUAGAUACCCUGGUAGUCCACGCCGUAAACGAUGUGCGCUGGAUGUUGGGUGACCUAGUCACUCAGUGUCGUAGCCAACGCGAUAAGCGCACCGCCUGGGGAGUACGGCCGCAAGGUUGAA